AAUGAACGCUGGUGGCAGACCUAACACAUGCAAGUCGAACGAUUUAUUAAAAACUUACGGUUUUUAUUAAAGAAGUGGCAAACGGGUAGGAGUAAUAGCAUGGGAAGUCUACCUAGAAGUUUGGGUAGUAACUAUUAGAAAUAAGUAGCUAAUAACCGAAUACACCCCGACGGGGGAAAGGUUAGACUUUUAGUUCUUCGCUUUUAGUAUGAGCCCAUGUUAAAUUAGUUAGUUGGUGGGAUAACAGCCUACCAAGACGAUGAUUUAUAGCUGGUCUUAGAGGAUGAUCAGCCACACUGGAAUUGAGAUACGGUUCAGACUCCUACGGGAGGCAGCAGUGGGGGAAUAUUGGGACAAUGGGCGCAAGCCUGAUCCAGUCAUGCCACGUGAGUGAUGAAGGUCUUUAGGAUUGUAAAACUCUUUUAGCAGGGAAAAUAAUGAUGGUACCUGCAGAAAAAGUCUCGGCUAACUUCGUGCCAGCCGCCGCGGUAAU
rnacentral:rRNA from 1 species